UACGUAGGGUCCGAGCGUUGUCCGGAGUUACUGGGCGUAAAGCGCGCGCAGGCGGCUACACAAGCAUGGCGUGAAAGCCCCCGGCUCAACCGGGGAGGGUCGUCGUGGACUGUGUGGCUUGAGGGCGGGAGGGGCUGGUGGAAUUCCCGGUGUAGUGGUGAAAUGCGUAGAGAUCGGGAGGAACACCCGUGGCGAAGGCGGCCAGCUGGACCGACCCUGACGCUGAGGCGCGAAGGCGUGGGGAGCGAACGGG
rnacentral:rRNA from 1 species